rnacentral:rRNA from 1 species
CAGCAGCCGCGGUAAAACGAAGGGGGCUAGCGUUGUUCGGAAUUACUGGGCGUAAAGCGCACGUAGGCGGAUAUUUAAGUCAGGGGUGAAAUCCCGCAGCUCAACUGCGGAACUGCCUUUGAUACUGGGUAUCUUGAGUAUGGAAGAGGUUAGUGGAAUUGCGAGUGUAGAGGUGAAAUUCGUAGAUAUUCGCAGGAACACCAGUGGCGAAGGCGGCUAACUGGUCCAUAACUGACGCUGAGGUGCGAAAGCGUGGGGAGCAAACAGGAUUAGAUACCCGCGUAGUCCCUGUCUCUUAUAC